rnacentral:rRNA from 1 species
GUCCACGCCGUAAACGAUGAUAACUAGCUGUCGGGGCCUUAGGCUUUCGGUGGCGCAGCUAACGCAUUAAGUUAUCCGCCUGGGGAGUACGGCCGCAAGGUUAAAACUCAAAGAAAUUGACGGGGGCCUGCACAAGCGGUGGAGCAUGUGGUUUAAUUCGAAGCAACGCGCAGAACCUUACCAGCGUUUGACAUCCCGGUCGCGGAUUCCAGAGAUGGUUUCCUUCAGUUAGGCUGGACCGGUGACAGGUGCUGCAUGGCUGUCGU